GACGAACGCUGGCGGCGUGCUUAACACAUGCAAGUCGAACGGAAAGGCCCUGCUUUUGUGGGGUGCUCGAGUGGCGAACGGGUGAGUAACACGUGAGUAACCUGCCCUUGACUUUGGGAUAACUUCAGGAAACUGGGGCUAAUACCGGAUAGGAGCUCCUGCUGCAUGGUGGGGGUUGGAAAGUUUCGGCGGUUGGGGAUGGACUCGCGGCUUAUCAGCUUGUUGGUGGGGUAGUGGCUUACCAAGGCUUUGACGGGUAGCCGGCCUGAGAGGGUGACCGGCCACAUUGGGCCUGAGAUACGGCCCAGACUCCUACGGGAGGCAGCAGUGGGGAAUAUUGCACAAUGGGCGGAAGCCUGAUGCAGCAACGCCGCGUGCGGGAUGACGGCCUUCGGGCUGUAAACCGCUUUCGCCUGUGACGAAGCGUGAGUGACGGUAAUGGGUAAAGAAGCACCGGCUAACUACGUG
rnacentral:rRNA from 1 species